rnacentral:rRNA from 1 species
GACGAACGCUGGCGGCGUGCUUAACACAUGCAAGUCGAGCGGUAAGGCCCUUUCGGGGGUACGACGAGCGGCGAACGGGUGAGUAACACGUGGGUGACCUGCCCUCCAGCUCUGGGAGUAAGCCUGGGAAACCGGGGUCUAAUACUGGAUAUGACUCCAUGACGCAUGUUGUGGGGUGGAAAGCCUUGUGCGGCUGAGGAUGGGCCCGCGGCCUAUCAGCUUGUUGGUGGGGGU